rnacentral:rRNA from 1 species
GAUGAACGCUGGCGGCGUGCCUAAUACAUGCAAGUCAACUGAAAUACCGGUAGCAAUACUGGUAUGGAGGUGGCGCACGGGUGAGUAACACGUAGGUAAUCUGCCUUCAGGUCUGACAUAACCCAUCGAAAGGUGAGCUAAUAUCAGAUGAUGCAGCGGCUUGACAUCAAGACAGUUGUUAAAGCUUCGGCGCCUGAAGAUGAGCCUGCGUCUGAUUAGCUAGUUGGCGGGGUAACGGCCCACCAAGGCUGCGAUCAGUAGCUGGUCUGAGAGGAUGAUCAGUCACACUGGAACUGAGACACGGUCCAGACUCCUACGGGAGGCAGCAGUAAAGGAAUAUUGCUCAAUGGCCGAAAGGCUGAAGCAGCAACGCCGCGUGAGGGAUGAAGGGCUUUUGCUUGUAAACCUCUGUAGCGAGAG